UGGAGAAUUUUGGACAAUGGGGGAAACCCUGAUCCAGCCAUCCCGCGUGUGCGAUGAAGGCCUUCGGGUUGUAAAGCACUUUUGGCUGGAAAGAAACGUCAUGGGUUAAUACCCCGUGAAACUGACGGUACCUGCAGAAUAAGCACCGGCUCACUACGUGCCAGCAGCCGCGGUAAUACGUAGGGUGCAAGCGUUAAUCGGAAUUACUGGGCGUAAAGCGUGCGCAGGCGGUUCGGAAAGAAAGAUGUGAAAUCCCAGAGCUCAACUUUGGAAAUGCAUAUUUAACUACCGGGCUAGAGGGUGUCAGAGGGAGAUGGAAUUCCGCAUGUAGCAGUGGAAUGCGUAGAUAUGCGGAGGAACACCGAUGGCGAAGGCAGCCUCCUGGGAUAACACUGACGCUCAUGAACGAAAGCGUGGGGAGCAAACAGA
rnacentral:rRNA from 1 species